rnacentral:rRNA from 1 species
AUUGAACGCUGGCGGCAUGCUUUACACAUGCAAGUCGAACGGUAACAGGCCGCAAGGUGCUGACGAGUGGCGAACGGGUGAGUAAUGCAUCGGAACGUGCCCAGUCGUGGGGGAUAACGCAGCGAAAGCUGCGCUAAUACCGCAUACGAUCUAUGGAUGAAAGCGGGGGACCGUAAGGCCUCGCGCGAUUGGAGCGGCCGAUGUCAGAUUAGGUAGUUGGUGGGGUAAAGGCUCACCAAGCCCACGAUCUGUAGCUGGGCUGAGGGGACGACCAGCCACACGGGGACUGAGACACGGCCCAGACUCCUACGGGAGGCAGCAGUGGGGAAUUUUGGACAAUGGGCGCAAGCCUGAUCCAGCAAUGCCGCGUGCAGGAAGAAGGCCUUCGGGUUGUAAACUGCUUUUGUACGGAACGAAACGGUCCUGGUUAAUACCUGGGGCUAAUGAUGGUACCGUAAGAAUAAGCACCGGCUAACUACGUGCCAGCCGCCGCCGUAACAC